rnacentral:rRNA from 1 species
GAUCAUGGCUCAGGAUGAACGCUAGCUACAGGCUUAACACAUGCAAGUCGAACGAGCGAGAGAGAGCUUGCUUUCUCAAGCGAGUUGCGAACGGGUGAGUAACGCGUGAGGAACCUGCCUCAAAGAGGGGGACAACAGUUGGAAACGACUGCUAAUACCGCAUAAGCCCACAGGUCGGCAUCGACCAGAGGGAAAAGGAGCAAUCCGCUUUGAGAUGGCCUCGCGUCCGA